CACGUAGGGAGCAAGCGUUGUCCGGAUUUAUUGGGCGUAAAGAGCUCGUAGGCGGUUCAGUAAGUCAGGUGUGAAACCUCCAGGCUCAACCUGGAGACGCCACCUGAUACUGCUGUGACUGGAGUCCGGUAGGGGAGCGUGGAAUUCCUGGUGUAGCGGUGAAAUGCGCAGAUAUCAGGAGGAACACCAGCAGCGAAGGCGGCGCUCUGGGCCGGAACUGACGCUGAGGAGCGAAAGCGUGGGUAGCAAACAGG
rnacentral:rRNA from 1 species